rnacentral:rRNA from 1 species
CCUACGUGAGGCAGCAGUGGGGAAUUUUGGACAAUGGGCGCAAGCCUGAUCCAGCCAUGCCGCGUGUCUGAAGAAGGCCUUCGGGUUGUAAAGGACUUUUGUUAGGGAAGAAAAGAAAUGGGUUAAUACUCCAUUUUGCUGACGGUACCUAAAGAAUAAGCACCGGCUAACUACGUGCCAGCAGCCGCGGUAAUACGUAGGGUGCGAGCGUUAAUCGGAAUUACUGGGCGUACAGCGAGCGCAGACGGUUUGUUAAGCAGGAUGUGAAAUCCCCGGGCUCAACCUGGGAACUGCGUUCUGAACUGGCAAACUAGAGUGUGUCAGAGGGGGGUAGAAUUCCACGUGUAGCAGUGAAAUGCGUAGAGAUGUGGAGGAAUACCGAUGGCGAAGGCAGCCCCCUGGGAUAACACUGACGUUCAUGCUCGAAAGCGUGGGUAGCAAACAGGAUUAGAGACCCGAGUAGUC